rnacentral:rRNA from 1 species
UAGGGAAUAUUGGACAAUGGGGGGAACCCUGAUCCAGCCAUGCCGCGUGGAGGAAGACUGCCCUCUGGGUUGUAAACUCCUUUUAUAUGGGAAGAACCGUCCUCAUUGAUGAGUGACCUGACGGUACCAUAGGAAUAAGCACCGGCUAACUUCGUGCCAGCAGCCGCGGUAAUACGAAGGGUGCAAGCGUUAUCCGGAUUCAUUGGGUUUAAAGGGUGCGUAGGCGGGAUAGCAAGUCAGUGGUGAAAUCCCGUGGCUUAACCACGGAAUUGCCAUUGAUACUGCUGUUCUUGAGUACGCUCGACGUAGGCGGAAUGUGCCGUGUAGCGGUGAAAUGCUUAGAUAUGGCACAGAACACCGAUAGUGAAGACAGCUCACGAGGGCGAAACUGACGCUGAGGCACGAAAGCGUGGGGAUCAAACA